CACACCACUGAACGGUGCUUCCUGUCCCCUGCAGAAUGUGAGCCCCGAGGGCAGGCUGGCACGCAUUUUGUCACCGUGUCCCCAACAAGAUGUUGCAUGAAGGUUCAUGUACCGGGUGGCUGGGGUUGUGGCCGGCUGCGCGGCAGACGCUGUCGGAGGUACCAGGUUCGGAGGCCUGGUGAGGAAAGGAGGUUUUAUGGAGAUAUAAUUGACACACAUCACUGUCUAAGUCCAAGAUAUGCAGCAUAAUGAACUGAUCAUCACAAGUACACCAUGUGAAAUGCUGGGCUGGAUGAAGCACAAGCUGGAAUCAAGACUGCCAGGAGAAGUAUCAAUAACUUCAGAUAUGCAGACGACACCACCCUCAUGGCAGAAAGUGAAGAGCCUCUUGAUCAAAGUGAAAGAGGAGAGUGAAAAAGUUGGCUUAAAGUUCA